rfam:Nicotiana sylvestris Nsyl_contig92141, whole genome shotgun sequence.
GGAUGGAUGUCUGAGCGGUUGAAAGUGUUGGUCUUGAAAACCAAAGUAUUUAUAGAAAUACCGGGGGUUCGAAUCCCUCUCCAUCCG